UCCAUUCUGGUCAUUUGUAUACUGAUUACUGGUUUGGGGAUCAUCUUUAUAAUUAGUCAUUUGUCCAGAGGAAGGCGAAGCCAAAGAAAUAGAGGAGUUACUGGCAAAAACAUCAAUAGAAAUCAGCAAGCAAGCCAAGCUCCAUCUAUACCCUUGGCAACGAUUUGAAGUUCUUUCCACAUGUCCUGACUCAAAGAAAUGGCUCGAACUGAACACAUGUGACUGAAGAUUUCUUUCAUUUAGCUCCCAAAUAAAGUGAUGUCAUUACCGUAGAAUCUCCAUGACAACUGGUCUGCAUCUCAGAGACUGAUUCUGACCUUUCAGGAUUUCUAAAGGACUCUGUGACCUUGCAGCAGUCUUUUGUGGCAAAUGGCAGCACUGAGGCUCAGAAGAGCUUUGAUAGACCACACCAAGCAAGGCGGCCAUUGAAUAAUCUCUCCAAACCUUAGCUCUCUAGCUACAGCAAAGAAGAGGUUACAGAAUAUGGGAUAAAGGGAAAUGACUUGUUUAUUUUAUCAGCCAGUAAAUAUCUGAAUAUUGUUGAAAAAGCACACCCCCCCCUCCGGUAUGACUGACUUCUCCUAGGCUAUCAUUGCUAGAAAGGUAUUUAUUGAAAUGUUCCUAAAAAGCAUAAUAUUCCAAUGCAUUUCUGAGUUGGUAUCAAAUGUUUUAUCCCAAAAUAGAAGCUCGACGAGUCUGUGGUUCUCAUAUUCUCUUGGUGAAAAGACUCUGGACCCCAAAGCACAUCCCUAAUAGGAAACUGUCACCAGUUAGUGGGUGCUGCUUUUAACCAAUGAGGAACCAAGGGGUGACAAGUGACAAAUGUUUUCCAAUCAAGAAGCA